AAGAAAAAUAUUUGAAUUAAGUCGAGACACUGUAGACAACGAAAUACAUAUUGGUUGCGGUGGUUGAAUUUGAUGGAUUAGUACUAAAUUAUGUUAUGACAAUAAGUAAAGCCAUUUAACUAAAAAGAUCCAAAUUACAUUCUUAUAAAGAAUAAUCGAGGUACUUGAUUCUUUAUGAAAAAAUCUUUAUAUUUAGCAUAUGUCUAUCUGGUAGCCUAUAGGGAGAAGCAUCGGAUUAGAAAAUGUGUUCCUAUUGACAGAGCCCGAGUUCUGCAAGGAGAGUACACCAAUAUCGCAGCAAUCCAACAAUUUUUAUCAGAGGACUCGAGAUCUCGGAACAUCAAAAAAUUCAAUGGUCAGAAGCUCACCGAUACAAUAACCACCAUCUUAUUACCAGAAUGCCUCAUCAGAACGUUUAAUUCCUUCGAAGAGACAUGCAUACCGGCAAGCUGGAAUCAACAUAUCAUGGCCAGCACAUACUAUUCUUGACAUUGUGGAUGACAAUGGAAUCGGUCGUAGGACAGUAAUGGAGCUUUUUGGUCCACUGGAGAUGGAGACGGCAAGGAUCUGUUCGAGUAUCGAGUGUAAAUAUGCCAACGACAACGACAGCCGCUGCUAUACAACCAAAUGAUUCAACUUCAUUAUUUAGGAACUUUAUUUAGCGAUGGCGAAGACAUGUUAUACAUUUGUACAAAAUUUGUUUUUAUUUCAUUUUAUCCGUCCGGAAUUCGAUUUACGUUAGAGAAUUGAAAACCAAUGAAAGAUUGUUUUUUAUAUACCUCCACCGUUGAUUCGUUGGAAGUUAUCGCAAAACAAUGCUUUUUGUAUUGGGUUUCUAUCCGAUGGCGAAAAUCGGACUCCGGGCGGAAAUUGCAUUCCUGUAUCAUUGUUAACAUAUGAAAGAAAACACGAAAUACAUUCAUUAACAAAUAAAAUUCAACACGAUUAUACAUCAAAUUCAUUUAGAAAACAAGCGAACAUGUCAAGCCAUUCAAUCCAAAUCGAUUUGUUUUACACGUUAAUACCGUGUGGAUGGUUCAUGAACGGAUGAUGAGUUUUGAUUGAGCGAAGUCGUAAGUUUUACACAUGACAUUGAUUUGUUUUGACAAUUUGCGCAAAUGUAUGUGUAGAACACACGGUCCUCUUGUGUAUUUUUU